AUCAACUUUCGAUGGUAGGAUAGAGGUUACCAUGGUGGUAACGGGUAACGGGGUGUUAGGGCACGACACCGGAGAGGGAGCCUGAGAAACGGCUACCACAUCCAAGGAUGGCAGCAGGCGCGCAAAUUACCCAAUCCCGACACGGGGAGGUAGUGACAAUAAAUAACAAUACGGGGUUCUUUUGGAUCUCGUAAUUGGAAUGAGUACAAUUUAAAUCUCUUAACGAGGAACAAUUGGAGGGCAAGUCUGGUGCCAGCAGCCGCGGUAAUUCCAGCUCCAAUAGCGUAUAUUAAAGUUGUUGCAGUUAAAAAGCUCGUAGUUGAAUUUCGGGGUUAGUAGGUUGGUCAUGCCUCUGGUAUGUACUGGUCUCACUGAUUCCUCCUUCCUGAUGAACCGUAAUGCCAUUAAUUUGGUGUUGCGGGGAAUUUGGACUGUUACUUUGAAAAAAUUAGAGUGUUUAAAGCAAGCUAACGCUUGAAUACAUUAGCAUGGAAUAAUGAAAUAGGACGUUCGAUCCUAUUUUGUUGGUUUCUAGGAUUGACGUAAUGAUUAAUAGGGAUAGUUGGGGGCAUUAGUAUUCAAUUGUCAGAGGUGAAAUUCUUGGAUUUAUUGAAGACUAACUACUGCGAAAGCAUUUGCCAAGGAUGUUUUCAUUAAUCAAGAACGAAAGUUAGGGGAUCGAAGACGAUCAGAUACCGUCGUAGUCUUAACCAUAAACUAUGCCGACUAGGGAUCGGAUGAUGUUAAUUUUUUAAUGACUCAUUCGGCGCCUUACGGGAAACCAAAGUGUUUGGGUUC
rnacentral:rRNA from 1 species